GAGAAAUAUUGUCUUCGUAUAAAAAGUUCAACAGGCAACACUGCCGAUAUUUUCAUCGAUUGUUUCGAGGAAAUUCAUUUUCCUAUUGAGCAAAUUCAACGUUUUCCAACAAGUGCAGCCGUUGCAAGUAAGUUUUGUAUGCUAGUAUCCCUGUAUCCAUCCACGUAUGGUAGUACAAAUAUUAAUAAAUAUAUUCUCUUGUGAAGGUCAGGAUCAUUUGGGUGUCCGUCCACGUUUGCUGGUGCAUGUAUUUUUACCACUGCAGCCUUUGGGUUGAUCCUUUGCAUAUAUACAA